UGGUUGCUAAGAAGGUGUCCUGUAGCAUAUUGGGAAUGGGACCUCAGCUACCUCCCUGAGCAACCUGUUCCAGCGUUCCACUACCCUCGUGGUAAAGAACUUGUUCCUAACACCCAAAAGGAAGAUCUACUCAGAGUUUUCAGGAGGGCUGUUUUUCUCCUGCUCAUCCAGAGGCUCUUGGGCUGUGAAACUUCUGUGUUGUCUGCAAGGUUAAUGGGAGCAAAGAGCCAUAGAAAACCAUCCAACAUGACUUGCUUGUUGGAGUUUGCACUGCUGAACAGAGAAAUGAGGACCUGUCUGGAGUUUGUGCCACCAUGCAGAUCAUCUCCAAGGACAGCUGCAUGCAGCCUACCUGGAGAGCACAGCAGCUGCUUUUGAGGCACAGCCAACCAAAGCUCUUCCCACAGAUCUCUCUUCAGCUCCCAAGAAAAAGAGCAUCACCAGCUACAGCAUUCUGCAGGCUUCCAUGACCAUAUGUGUGGUCCAAGCUCAGCUGGGUUUCACUGUGUUCUGGGACUGCUGGGAACACAACUUCCUUCCCUUAUGGACUUGUGGGGCUUCCCUUUCUCCUCCCACAUGGCUGCUUUCUGGAAGGCACACCUCGAGUCAGUGUUUGCACAUACUUAAUGGCACCCCAUCAGCUUUUGCAGUGGCUGGUCCUGGGGAUGCAUGGCUCUCUUACAUUCCCACACUAAGUGGAAUCUGGCUGUGUUUUAAAAGCAAAGCCAUGGUCUGUACAAGUAAUGAUGUGCUUUAUAGUUCUUCCUCAAAUCAAUCUUCCUGGCUUAGGAGAGAUACUUGCCCUGCUAGCUUUGUUGUGUAGAUACUGGCCUGAUGCUACUGCUCA